GUGUAGCGCAUCUCCAGCCACACAUACGUUACCUUUACUAAUAUUUCCCCAAAGAAUUUCCCAAGGAUGCCUAUAUCUCAGUGGAGAGGAUAUAAAAGCAUCCAAUACAGUGUUUUCCAUAACAGCUCUUACUUCAUCUGGUAACUUUCCAAGCUUGGUUAACAUAUAUUGCUUCAACUGAGGAGGGUUCUUCUCUAGCUCUUUCUCUAAAGAAAAUUUGCAGAGAAAAUUAAUGAGACCUACAUAUACUGCGUUAGGUAAUAACUGCAUAAUAUGGAUGGUACAUAUAUUCAUAAGGUUUCUGAAGUUGUGUGUCAGAGUCAAAUACUAUCAAACAAUAUAUCAUUGUUCUUUGCAUGUCAUAUAUAUGUUACGAAACUGAGAGCUGAAAUACCGUAUUUAAACCAAUGAAGGAAAGGCCUGUAAGGUUACUGGUACUGGAAGCUUGAGGAGCAGUGUGGUUGGGAGAAAGGCUUACCUUGGCUGGGGGGAGACCAAGUAAAGAACCAGUAAACAUUUUUACUGUCACAAGGAACGAC
rnacentral:lncRNA from 1 species